GCUGGCAGUUAGCUCUCUGCAACUUUUACACGGUCACCCACUGAAGCUAAGCAGGGCUGAGCCUGGUCAGUACCUCGAUGGGAGACCACAUGGAAAAGCUUGGUUGCUGCCAGAA
ensembl:rRNA 5S_rRNA 5S ribosomal RNA